rnacentral:rRNA from 1 species
GACGAACGCUGGCGGCGUGCUUAACACAUGCAAGUCGAGCGGUAAGACCCUUUCGGGGGUACACGAGCGGCGAACGGGUGAGUAACACGUGGGUGACCUGCCCUCAGCUCUGGGAUAAGCCUGGGAAACCGGGUCUAAUACCGGAUAUGACUCCAUGACGCAUGUUGUGGGGUGGAAAGCCUUGUGCGGCUGAGGAUGGGCCCGCGGCCUAUCAGCUUGUUGGUGGGGUGANGGCCUACCAAGGCGACGACGGGUAGCCGGCCUGAGAGGGCGACCGGCCACACUGGGACUGAGACACGGCCCAGACUCCUACGGGAGGCAGCAGUGGGGAAUCUUGCGCAAUGGGCGAAAGCCUGACGCAGCGACGCCGCGUGAGGGAUGACGGCCUCGGUUGUAACGUACUU